CAUGCACGCCGGUCAGCGAGGUUUCGCCCACCGGCGUUUUUUG
rfam:Novosphingobium sp. AP12 PMI02_contig_67.67, whole genome shotgun sequence.